UUGGUCCCUGGGCAUCAGGAGAAACAGCAGCAGGGCUUCUGGGAGCUCAGUGCACUCAGUGUCAUGGUUUUUAAGGUCUCUUCAUCAUUAGCUAACUGAGACCAAGGAGAAAGGAAGCCAUGGUACUCCCAAAACUUCUGUUAUGCACUCAUCAGCAACUUACUCCCCUGGACAAUACAGGCAACUUGAAGUGGGAGGAAGGAGGAUUUAAUGCGAUGCCUAUUGGGACACCUCAACUGGACAGUGCUGCUGCUAGGAUGCCAUUAGCACUGAGCAGAGUGGAACAAAUGUAAGGUAUUCUGUUUAAAACAGAUGGCUUCAGGGUGAGACUCUUUGUUCACUUCUACUGCAGUAGAGUCCUGUCCUUGGGAAGAGUGCCUUUAAGCUGACAAUAGCAUAAAGCAUGACAACAAUGUGCAGUUUUGAUAGGCUUCCAUGCAUUUGUCAGACAAGAUCUGAUGAUGUCAAUACUGUCAUUAAUUUCCCUAGAAACUGUCAUCUCAACUUCCCAGUUGACAUGCUUAAUCCAACACUGCCAUGUGUUGCAGCUGACUGCCAAGGACUUUUCAGAGGCUGGGUUUUGUGUCUUUUGGCAUCCCUGUUCCUCUUCUCAUUUACUCUUCACGUUCAUUCAGAUGAAGAUCUCUGAACUGGCCAGAUGAAAACAUGCAGAAAUCUCUGUUCUAUCUUGAACCAGAAAUGCUGCAGAGCUCUGGGAGGUGUCUGCCAGCCCUUGGCAGAGCCACAAGCUGGAUGUAAGUGCCUGCUGAUCCACCUGCUCACAUCCACCUUCCACCACUGAAGAUCAGCAUCCAGGAUGCCACCAGCUUCCCAGUCUUCUUUGCUUUGUUCUGUUGGUGUGAAAUAAAUACCUACUGGACCUAGAAUGCUGUAAAACAUAUCCCUGUACCUUCUCACCAAUACUUAGCAUCAAGCCUUUUCAUUAUUUGUGUUGAAGUUGUGCCAACCCUUUGCUGUUGUUCAGUUGCUGUUUCUUUUAGUUCUUUGAGGGUCCUGCAAGACUGUUCAGCCCAGGAUGUAUCUCUGCCAAAGGCUGCUCUGCUGGGAGACAAGGGAAACUAAUUCACCACUGACAAAAGGUGACAGAGCCAUUAAACAUGAAGCAGAUUUACUAAGUUUGGCUGGAGAGAGUGAGAAAGAGGAGAUAAAGAAGAAGCAUUCCAUUUAAGGACUUCACAAAUAUUUCUGACUUUCUUCCUAGUGAGGAAUGGGUCUCCUUAGGAGACUGAAUUCUGGAUGGAGUCAGAUGGGAUCACCCUGAGGCCAGUAGGAAUGUGCCUUCUCCUCUACACCUUCUCAGUUCUGAUCCCUUCUGCCUGUGGCACAGCUCCCACCAGGAGCUCGAUGGCAUUUAGACUUGCAGCCAUUCCAAUGGGAGGUUUUGUGUUGUGUGAGGAAGCAUACGGAUUCAAACUCAAAGCAGAUUGUUUUAUGCAGUGUCAAAUUCUGUGCCAAUGGAACAUGAUAUGAUAUGUUGAAGUGGGAUACGUAGCAUAUGGCCAUAAUUCAGAGAAACACAUUUCUCCAGCUGGAUAGCUGCUAUUGAGUUAGAAAACAUGUGUCCUGCAUUCUGGUAGGCUCCUACCAGAGCAGUGAGAGGGCGCAUAAGACAGGACAGCCCUGGGAUGGGGAGUCAGCCAGCACCUACAUCUAUCUCACUGCUCCAUAGCGCUGUUCAGAACGAAGUCUCCUGUUGUCACAAUGGGCAAAGUAAAAUGGAACAGAGCUGUUGUUGAGCUCCAUGCCUCAAGUGCAGGUUCAGAAGCCAACACACAUGAACAGGUUGGGCUGCGUAUCAAGGCUGGGAUGUGGGGCUGGCAUUCCCAUGCCUUGUCCCUGCUGUCUCCAGGUGCCCAGCCUGCAGCUCUGCCUGGCUCCCUGUGACACUGCGAGGCUGUGCGUGCAGUUCCUCCUGUGGUUCAGCUGCUAAAUACCUCGUGGUCAGGCUCAUGAGUAAUUACCUGCCGCAGCCUACUUUGAAAUAAUGAAGGGCUUUUUCCAUGUCAGUCACCCCUCCUGACCCACUGCUCCACCUCCCGAAGCUCUCAUCGCACUCAUAGCAGCAGAAGAGUAUUUUAUUCGGUAGCACAGGAUUCUUGAAGUUCCAAUAGCUCAGAUCAAUCCAAGCAAUAAAAUGGGAAAAGGACAGAA